rnacentral:misc_RNA from 1 species
CAAAUCAUGGCGAACCUCGCGGUUUCGCGAGGUCAUGCGUCCAUUUUUUUCGUAUUUAAAACAUCCCACUCUUUAAAAAAAUAUUUAUCUAAUGAUAAAAAUAAAAAGA